UUGUAGAACCGUAAUGCCAUUAAUUUAGUGUUGCGGGGAAACAGGACUGUUACUUUGAAAAAAUUAGAGUGUUUAAAGCAGGCUAGCGCCUGAAUACAUUAGCAUGGAAUAAUGAAAUAGGACGUUCGAACCUAUUUUGUUGGUUUCUAAGAUUGACGUAAUGAUUAAUAGGGAUAGUUGGGGGCAUUAGUAUUCAAUUGUCAGAGGUGAAAUUCUUGGAUUUAUUGAAGACUGACUACUGCGAAAGCAUUUGCCAAGGAUGUUUUCAUUAAUCAAGAACGAAAGUUAGGGGAUCGAAGACGAUCAGAUACCGUCGUAGUCUUAACCAUAAACUAUGCCGACUAGGGAUCGGAUGAUGUUAAUUUUUUAAUGACUCAUUCGGCGCUUACG
rnacentral:rRNA from 1 species